rnacentral:rRNA from 1 species
CAGCAGCCGCGGUAAUACGAAGGGGGCUAGCGUUGCUCGGAAUGACUGGGCGUAAAGGGCGCGUAGGCGGCGAUCAAAGUCAGGCGUGAAAUUCCUGGGCUCAACCUGGGGGCUGCGUUUGAUACUUGGUUGCUUGAGUGGGGAAGAGGGUCGUGGAAUUCCCAGUGUAGAGGUGAAAUUCGUAGAUAUUGGGAAGAACACCGGUGGCGAAGGCGGCGACCUGGUCCUUUACUGACGCUGAGGCGCGAAAGCGUGGGGAGCAAACAGGAUUAGAUACCCGUGUAGUCCCUGUCUCUUAUAC